UUGAGAGACAACUAACUAUACCAACUGAGCCACAGUCACCACUGUCUGUCUGUGGAGUUCAAAUAGUAAUCAUCUAUUUUACUAAUGGGAGGAAGUAUUGUACUUUAUUUAAAAGUAAAAACAUUGUUAAAUGGUCUAAUCAGCUGGUUGGUGAGUCACGGCUCUACCAAGCGUCCCUGUAAUCCAGACCGUUAGAGCAGAUAGCUACCUACAGUAUGUCUUAAACAUUGACUCCCACCCUUUGCACCGUGAUUUUCAGCAUCUUCCCUCUGGACGGAGGUUUUUCAGUCCCAAGGGGCAGAACAAAGCCGAACAAAAAUAACUAUCUUUCUGCUGCUAUCACUGAACUGAAAAAGCUGUAGCCAUAUUUGCAAAUAUCCUGGCUUAAUUUUGUGAUUAAUUUUAUUGUUUUUUUCAUUCAUUGGUGGAACCUUGAGCACUUUUCUACAAUUCUACAAUUCACAUAGCAGACACUUUUAUCCAAAGCGACUUUUAUCAUUGUUAUAAUUUAUUCAUUUUUUAAAAUAAUGUUUCCGUAGGUUAUAAAUAGAUUGAUCCUUCUCGAAUGUGUUUUAUCUUCUUACAUCUGUUUUGUCAUUUCUCUCAUAGCUCGCUAGGUGUACAAAUACAGUAACCUGCACCUGAACAAUGUGUUAUUUCUUUAAAUCUCAUAAAACAGGCGGGUGGAGACUAAUAGAAGGCUGUUUGAAAAAGCAGCACACACUUUGAAGGAAACGUCCCUCCUCUGAACAUCUUCACCUCUCUGCUCCAGAGGACCUGACAAGAAUACUUUCUGCCUAUUCUGAAACACAAAGAUGGCUGUAGCUCUCACUCUCCUUCUUGUUGGCUGUCUGCUCCCAGGUGCCCUGUGUGGACAGUUUGAGAGCAUUAUACCACAGACGAUAGAGGUUCUGAAGGGAUCCUGUGUGACAAUCCCCUGCUCCUUUGAUGUACAGGAUCAAUUUAAUGUAAACUUAAACAACACUUGUAAAGCAUUAUGGAGAGAAAGUACUUUUGGACCUGAUGUGUUUGAUAGCAGUAAUCCACAACAGAAAGGACAAUUGA